AUGAAAGAGAAUUUAAAAAUAUAAAGAAAGCGAUUAAUUAUUAUUUGAUUGCAGCACAGUUAUCACAUAAUGACUUUUUGUCUUGGUAUAAUAUUGUUGAUUUGUGUAAACUUGAGAAACAAUAUAAUCUUAUUAUUUAUUGUUUAUAUAAAGUGCUAAAAAUUUAUAAUAGAAAGAGAAAAAAAUACCAAAAAAAAAAAAACGCUAAAAAAGAAGACAAAGGUAAGGAGAUAUAUAAAGAUGAAAACGACAACUGCAACAACUUUGUAAAACAUAUAUACUUUAACUUAGCAUUUACCUACAUAUUAAUGGAAGAUUAUAAAAAUGCAUUAAAAAAACUAUUGUACUUGAAACAUAUCAAUAAGAGUGAAUAUGAUAUUGUGGUUGAUAUAUAUAUAUGUAUAUGCAUAAUGAAUAUAAGAAGACCUGAUGAAUGUUAUACGUUUUUAAAGAAUAUUUAUUUGUGUAUAAUGAAAAAUAAAGAAAACGAAAUUAAUAAAAAUAAUGACCAACUUCGUGUUAGUCAUAUAAAUGACAAUAUGAAUAUUAAAUUACAUGAACAUUGUAACUUAUUUACUUAUUCUGAAAACACAGUUAUAUCUUUAUUCAUGCAAACCCAAAUAUUAAAUAAUAAAUAUGAUGAAUGUAUAUAUGUAUAUAAAACAAUAACAAAAACAAAUUACAAUAUACAUAUAGAUAUAUUUAUACAAUUUAUCAAAUCAAUCAUUAUGAUCAACUAUGAUAUAAAUUAUGACUAUUUAAAAUAUAACUAUUUUUUUAAAACAAUUUUUAAUAACCAUAUUUUUUAUGAAGAUCUUAUUUUUGAUUUAGCUGAAUCAUUUUAUAUGAAAGGGAUAUAUUAUUCUGCUAUCAACUGUUAUCAGUUUUUAUAUGAAAAAAAGGACAAAUGUUUGAUUAUAGUGGGGGAGGAAAAUAGUAGUGAACAAUGUAUUAACAUAGGUCAUAAUACCGUAACUUGUCAUCAUGAUAGUACACCGAAUGAAACUGAUUGUAAGGAUAAUGAUGACUGUAAUAGUGAUAAUACCAAAGAACAAACCACCCCCUCAAGUAAUGCAAUAAAAUUCAACAACAAAAUAGACUUCGCUGUUAUAACAUACAAGUUUGUAAAAUGUUAUUAUUAUAUAGAAGAUUAUAUAAAAGCUGAAGAAUUGAUUUUAAAAUUAUUAAAUAAU
rnacentral:lncRNA from 1 species